CUCGAAUAUUUUGAGAACAUGAGUAACAGGAUAUGAAAAACCUGUAACCAUACGAUGUAUAAUACUAAAAACAUUUAGAAUAACGUGAUUUUCUCAUGUAAUUAUUUAAUAGCAAAGAUUUUUACCAUCUUUCCGCAGGUUUUGGUGGUGCAGGAGCUAUUGUGGAAGGUCCAGUGAUUGGUGUGAUAGUGGAUUAUUAUGGUUGGUCUGGAGCAUUUUAUUUCAUGGUUCUUCUCUCCAUUCUCGCUUCUCUUUCCUUAUUUAGAGCAUCGCGAGUUAAUUCCCCGUCAUGAUUUUUAUUCAAUGAGUAAAAUAUUCUAAAAUUUAAAAAUAUUUAUCCCUCAAUUAAAUUUGAACAAUCAAAUAUAGCCUAAUAGAGGGUGUCUCGAAACAACAUGCAAUAGCUGUGUCCUGAUUUUUACACAUGCAGCUAAUUAUUUCUACAAGGCAUCGAAAGUUUAAACUGGUCCAGUAAAUGAACCAAAAUGUUAUGGGUUUAAAAUAAAGUCUCGUUCACCCAACGGACCAUUAAUUAAAAUCAUGCAUCAUUUGUAUUUUUAAUAGGUAUAUCAAUAGGUUUGAUGAUUCCUUACUUUAAAAAGCUAUAAUAUUGGUUCUACUUCUACUAGACCAGUUUUAGUACUCAGUAGGGCCAAAAUUCAUCUCUUAGAUUGAAUUUGCAAUGCAUGCAUACUAUUAAAUAAUUAGCUGCGUAAAAAUCCAUUCUAUAUUUAUUCACCUACAGUAUUGCAUUUUUUUGGAACAUCCUAUAUACUAUUUAUAAAGUAACAUUAUAAUCUGUAAAAUUUGUUAGUUAUUAGUUGAAGUUUAUUGGACGUUUCGACUAUAGGUUUUAGUCAUUAUCAAUGAAAUCUAAAAUCGAUCUUCAGAGAUGGUGAUGACCGGACUAAAAUCUAGUGGGAACGUCCAAUAUUGGCAAUAAUGUUUACCGUUGACAUCAGUUUAGUUAAUGUGUCAAAAUGUCAAAUUACUGAUUUGCUGAAUUAUGACAUUAGGGCCAUUUAUACGUGACAAAAUAAGUCGCGACUUACAUAAGACGCGACUUAAAUAAGUGGAGUUAUCGCAUAAAUGGUUCUCUACGGCUUUGGUCUUAUUUAUUUGCUAUAGCUAUAAUGUUGUUUUGGUUGUUUUUGUUUUAAUAUGCAAGGCAUUAAAUUUUACGUUGUUUCAAGUUUCUGGCAUGUGUAGUUAGACUUUUUGUCCAAAAUUUCUUAUUUA